rnacentral:rRNA from 1 species
AUUGAACGCUGGCGGCAUGCCUUACACAUGCAAGUCGAACGGUAACAGGUCUUCGGAUGCUGACGAGUGGCGAACGGGUGAGUAAUACAUCGGAACGUGCCCGAUCGUGGGGGAUAACGAGGCGAAAGCUUUGCUAAUACCGCAUACGAUCUACGGAUGAAAGCGGGGGAUCUUCGGACCUCGCGCGGACGGAGCGGCCGAUGGCAGAUUAGGUAGUUGGUGGGAUAAAAGCUUACCAAGCCGACGAUCUGUAGCUGGUCUGAGAGGAUGAUCAGCCACACUGGGACUGAGACACGGCCCAGACUCCUACGGGAGGCAGCAGUGGGGAAUUUUGGACAAUGGGCGAAAGCCUGAUCCAGCCAUGCCGCGUGCAGGAUGAAGGCCUUUUGGUUGUAAACUGCUUUUGUACGGAACGAAAAGCCUCUUUCUAAUAAAGAGGGGUCAUGACGGUACCGUAAGAAUAAGCACCGGCUAACUACGUG